rnacentral:rRNA from 1 species
CGUCUGAUUGUCUCUCAUGGAUACUGUAGUAAUUCUAGAGCUAAUACAUGCCUCGAUGCUCUGAUCCGCAAGGUGAGGAGUGCACUUAUUAGAUCUCAAACUAUCCGGCUUCGGUCGUGGUUUGUGAUGACUCUGGAUAACUUAGUAUGAUCGCAGUCGGCCUUGUUGUCGGCGAUGGAUCCAUGUAAUGUCUGCCCUAUCAACUUUCGAUGGUAGGUGACCUGCCUACCAUGGUUAUGACGGGUAACGGGGAAUCAGGGUUCGAUUCCGGAGAGGGAGCCUGAGAAACGGCUACCACAUCCAAGGAAGGCAGCAGGCGCGCAACUUACCCACUCUCUGAACGAGGAGGUAGUAAAGAUAAAUAUCGAUACAGACUUCAAUAGAGGCUCUGUAAUCGAAAUGAGAACAAUUUAAAUCCCAUAACGAGGAUCUAUUGGAGGGCAAGUCUGGUGCCAGCAGCCGCGGUAACUCCAGCUCCAAUAGCAUAUAUUAAAGUUGCUGCAGUUAAAAAGCUCGUAGUUGGAUCUGGGCUGCGUUGCGAUUGCUGGCGCUGUGGGCGUGUGCUCCGGUACAUGUUUACGGCCUGGUUUAUUCGCGCGCUGCUUCACGGCUGUGUCCAUUCGCCUUAAUUGGUGUUUGGAUAAUGCUGGGUGUCUGGAGCGACCCCUUCACGGGGGUUGAGCCGGCUCAGUAUUAUGGUCUGUUGAUGCCCUUAACUGGGUGUCCGGAACUCACAGCUCGUUUACUUUGAACAAAUUUGAGUGCUCAAAGCAGGCCGUUUGUUGCCUGAAGAUUCUUGCAUGGAAUAAUGAAAUAGGACUUCGGUCCUAUUUUGUUGGUUUGAUAGAACCGAAGUAAUGAUAAAGAGAGACUGACGGGGGCAUUUGUAUGGCGGCGCUAGAGGUGAAAUUCGUGGACCGUCGCCAGACAACCUAAAGCGAAAGCAUCUGCCAAGGAUGUUUUCAUUUACCAGGAGCGAAAGUCAGAGGUUCGAAGACGAUCAGAUACCGUCCUAGUUCUGACCAUAAACGAUGCCAACUGACGAUCCGUGGUAGUUCUUUACCAGAGCCCACGGGCAGUCCCCGGGAAACCUGUAAGUCUAUGGGUUCCGGGGAAAGUA